AACUGGGAUUAGAUACCCCACUAUGCCUAGCCUUAAACACAAAUAGUUGUAUAAACAAAACUAUUCGCCAGAGUACUACCGGCAAUAGCUUAAAACUCAAAGGACUUGGCGGUGCUUUACACCCUUCUAGAGGAGCCUGUUCUAUAAUCGAUAAACCCCGAUAAACCUCACCAUUCCUUGCUAAUACAGUCUAUAUACCGCCAUCUUCAGCAAACCCUAAAAAGGUACAAAAGUAAGCACAAUCAUAAUACAUAAAAACGUUAGGUCAAGGUGUAACCUAUGGAACGGAAAGAAAUGGGCUACAUUUUCUAAUCUAAGAAAACCCAACACGAAAGUUAUUAUGAAAUUAAUAACCAAAGGAGGAUUUAGCAGUAAACUAAGAAUAGAGUGCUUAGUUGAAUUAGGCCAUGAAGCACGCACACACCGCCCGUCACCCUC
rnacentral:rRNA from 1 species